GAUGAACGCUGGCGGCGUGCCUAAUACAUGCAAGUCGAGCGAACGGACGAGAAGCUUGCUCCUCUGAUGUUAGCGGCGGACGGGUGAGUAACACGUGGAUAACCUACCUAUAAGACUGGGAUAACUUCGGGAAACCGGAUCUAAUACCGGAUAAUAUUUUGAACCGCAUGGUUCAAAAGUGAAUGACGGUCUUGCUGUCACUUAUAGAUGGUUCCGCGCUGCCUUAGCUAGUUGGUAAGGUAACGGCUUACCAAGGCAACGAUGCAUAGCCGACCUGAGAGGGUGAUCGGCCACACUGGAACUGAGACACGGUCCAGACUCCUACGGGAGGCAGCAGUAGGGAAUCUUCCGCAAUGGGCGAAAGCCUGACGGAGCAACGCCGCGUGAGUGAUGAAGGUCUUCGGAUCGUAAAACUCUGUUAUUAGGGAAGAACAUAUGUGUAAGUAAAUGUGCACAUCUUGACGGUACCUAAUCAAAAAGCCACGGCUAACUACGUG
rnacentral:rRNA from 1 species